AUUGAACGCUGGCGGCAGGCCUAACACAUGCAAGUCGAGCGAGCGGCGGACGGGUGAGCAAUGUCUGGGAAACUGCUUGAUGGAGGGGGAUAACUACUGGAAACGGUAGCUAAUACCGCAUACCAUCAGAUGUGCCCAGAUGGGUUUAGCUAGUAGGUGGGGUAACGGCUCACCAAGGCGACGAUCCCUAGCUGGUCUGAGAGGGUGACCGGCAACACUGGAACUGAGACACGGUCCAGACUCCUACGGGAGGCAGCAGUGGGGAAUAUUGCGCAAUGGGCGCAAGCCUGAUGCAGCCAUGCCGCGUGUGUGAAGAAGGCCUUCGGAUUGUAAAGCACUUUCAUCGGGGAGGCGUUACUCACAGAGGAAGCACCGGCUAACUCCGUGCCAGCAGCCGCGGUAAUUC
rnacentral:rRNA from 1 species